GAUUAUGGCUCAGGAUGAACGCUGGCGGCGUGCCUAACACAUGCAAGUCGAACGGAGUUAAGGGAAAUUUCGGAUGGAACUUAACUUAGUGGCGGACGGGUGAGUAACGCGUGGAUAACCUGCCUCACACUGGGGGGAUAGCAGCUGGAAACGGCUGGUAAUACCGCAUAAGACCACAGCACCGCAUGGUGCAGGGGUAAAAGAUUUAUCGGUGUGAGAUGGAUCCGCGUCUGAUUAGCCAGUUGGCGGGGUAACGGCCCACCAAAGCGACGAUCAGUAGCCGGCCUGAGAGGGUGAACGGCCACAUUGGGACUGAGACACGGCCCAAACUCCUACGGGAGGCAGCAGUGGGGAAUAUUGCACAAUGGGCGCAAGCCUGAUGCAGCAACGCCGCGUGAGUGAAGAAGUAUUUCGGUAUGUAAAGCUCUAUCGGCAGGGAAGAAAGGCCCAUAACAGGGAGAUGACGGUACCUGACUAAGAAGCCCCGGCUAACUACGUGCCAGCCGCUGC
rnacentral:rRNA from 1 species